AAAACAUUUUUCCGCAGAUCCAAAAUUGUGGUUAUGAGUAUGUGAAGGCCUCAUAUGGAAAACUUGUUUUACCAAAUUUAGCCCCUGGGGUGACUAUGAACUGCAACAGGCUCAUGAAGUUGUCAGGCAAAGGUGCUGUUUACGUACGCUCCAAUGAAAAACUUAGUGCUUGUAGUGAGAGUGACAAUUCUGCUGAUGAUGAAUUGCUGAAACCAGCAUUAAUUAAGCAAUAACCAGAAGUCCUGGAAAUUCAGUCUGAGUCAGACAUUAGGGAUAAGGUUUUGUGAAUUUUUGUCGGAGUCAGUGUGCCAAUAUGUAAAUAUCAUACACAAAUCACCAUACCAAAACAGGAAAGUACUUCCAUUCAAUAUCAAUAAAGACUGUGGAAAAUAUGAAUGUAUUAAUAUCAUAUUGCCAAACGUAUGACUUAAGAAAAUAACUAAAUCCUGCAAGCCAUGAAAGUAGACCUAGCUAAAUUAAACUAUUUUUUCAU